GGCACCCGGGUGAGUAACGCGUGGGAACCUUCCUAGUAGUACGGAAUAACUUCGGGAAACCGAAGCUAAUACCGUAUACGCCCUUCGGGGGAAAGAUUUAUCGCUAUUAGAUGGGCCCGCGUCGGAUUAGCUAGUUGGUGAGGUAAUGGCUCACCAAGGCGACGAUCCGUAGCUGGUCUGAGAGGAUGAUCAGCCACACUGGGACUGAGACACGGCCCAGACUCCUACGGGAGGCAGCAGUAGGGAAUAUUGGACAAUGGGCGAAAGCCUGAUCCAGCCAUGCCGCGUGAGUGAAGAAGGCCUUAGGGUUGUAAAGCUCUUUUGGCGGGGAAGAUAAUGACGGUACCCGCAGAAUAAGCCCCGGCUAACUUCGUGCCAGCAGCCGCAGUAAUACGAAGGGGGCUAGCGUUGUUCGGAAUCACUGGGCGUAAAGCGCACGUAGGCGGACUUUUAAGUCGGGGGGGAAAUCCCGGGGCUCAACCUCGGAAUUGCCUCCGAUACUGGAAGUCUCGAGUCCGGGAGAGGUGAGUGGAAUUCCUAGUGUAGAGGUGAAAUUCGUAGAUAUUAGGAGGAACACCGGUGGCGAAGGCGACUUCCUGGCACUAUACUGACGCUGAGACGCGAGAGCGUGGGUAGCAAACAGGAUUAGAUACCAUGGUAGUCCACGCCGUAAACGAUG
rnacentral:rRNA from 1 species